UACAGAGGUCCCAAGCGUUGUUCGGAUUCAUUGGGCGUAAAGGGUGCGUAGGCGGCGCGGUAAGUUUGAUGUGAAAUCUCCGGGCUUAACCCGGAAAUGGCAUUGAAUACUAUUGAGCUGGAGGUUUGGAGGGGGGACUGGAAUUCUCGGUGUAGCAGUGAAAUGCGUAGAUAUCGAGAGGAACACCAGUGGCGAAGGCGAGUCCCUGGACAACACCUGACACUGAGGCACGAAAGCUAGGGGAGCAAACAGG
rnacentral:rRNA from 1 species